rnacentral:rRNA from 1 species
UCAACGCAGUGAUUCGAGCUCGGUACCCGGGGAUCCUCUAGAGAUUAGAGUUUGAUCCUGGCUCAGGAUUAAUGCUGGCGGCAUGCCUAAUACAUGCAAGUUGAACGGAUAGUAGCAAUACUAUUAGUAGCGAACGGGUGAGUAACACGUACUUAAGAUACCAUAAUGUUUGGGAUAACUAGUGGAAACAUUAGCUAAUACCGAAUAGGAUAACUAAUCGCAUGAAUAGUUAUUUAAAGGGGCCCUUAAAAGCCUUGCUUUAUGAUUCAGGUGCGGUGCAUUAGCUAGUUGGUAAGGGUAAUGGCCUACCAAGGCAAUGAUGCAUAGCCAAUCUGAGAGGAUGAAUGGCCACAUUGGGACUGAGACACGGCCCAAACUCCUACGGGAGGCAGCAGUAGGGAAUUUUUCACAAUGGGCGAAAGCCUGAUGGAGCAAUGCCGCGUGUUUGAUGACGGCCUUUGGGUUGUAAAAAACUGUUAUAUGGGAUGAAAAAAAUAGAUAGGAAAUGAUCUAUUAUUGACAGUACCAUAUUAGAAAGCCACGGCUAACUACGUGCCAGCAGCCGCGGUAAUACGUAGGUGGCAAGCAUUAUCCGGAAUUAUUGGGUGUAAAGGGAGCGUAGACGGUUUUAUAAGUCUGAGGUUAAAUGCAUAAGCUUAACUUAUGCCUGCCUUAGAAACUAUGAAACUAGAAUGUGAUAGAGGACAAUGGAAUUCCAUGUGUAGCGGUGGAAUGCAUAGAUAUAUGGGGGAACACCAAUUGCGAAAGCAGUUGUCUGGGUCAUUAUUGACGUUGAGGCUCGAAAGCAUGGGGAGCAAAUAGGAUUAGAUACCCUAGUAGUCCAUGCCGUAAACGAUGAAUACUAGUUAUUAGGAGUUUAUCCUAGUAACUUAGCUAACGCGUUAAGUAUUCCACCUGAGUAGUACAUUCGCAAGAAUGAAACUUAAAGGAAUUGACGGGGACCCGCACAAGCGGUGGAGCAUGUGGUUUAAUUCGAAGCAACGCGAAAAACCUUACCUGGGUUUGACAUCCCUUGCAAAGCUAUAGAAAUAUAGUGGAGGUUGUCAAGGUGACAGGUGGUGCAUGGUUGUCGACAGUUCGUGUCGUGAGAUGUAUGGUUAAGUCCCAUAACGAGCGCAACCCUCAUCCUUAUUUACUAACAUUAAGUUGAGCACUAUAAGGAAACUGCAGUCGUAAGAUUGAGGAAGGUGGGGAUGACGUCAAAUCAUCAUGCCCCUUAUAUCCAGGGCUACACACGUGCUACAAUGGUAGAGACAAAGGGAAGCUAACCCGAGAGGGGGUGCAAAUCUCAUCAAACUCUACCUCAGUUUGGAUUAAAGUCUGCAAUUCGACUUUAUGAAACCGGAAUCGCUAGUAAUCGCAAAUCAGCAUUGUUGCGGUGAAUACGUUCUCGGGUCUUGUACACACCGCCCGUCACACCAUGAGAGUUAGCAAAACCAGAAGUCAUUUAUUUAACUUCAUUGAGAAAAAUGCCAAAGGUAGGGCUGAUGAUUGGGGUGAAGUCGUAACAAGGCCGUAAAUCGUCGACCUGCAGGCAUGCAAGCUGGCGUAAUCCA